rnacentral:lncRNA from 1 species
CAUGAUGAGGCAGGAGUAGUUGUCCGGGUCGACGAGCGCCGGCACGAGGUAUCGCCGGCCGUUCCGGCCGACGACGUUGUACCCGGCGCCGGUGGCCGCGUCCACCCUCACGGCGCCCGGGUAUCCCGGGUACGCGCCGCGGCCGUACACCCCCGGGCACGCUCCGGCCACCUCCACCGGCGCCGCCGCGUCGCCCUGGAAGUAGCCGCGCCCGUACGGGUUCGUCACCGCGCCGGCCAUCAGCGCCGCCAGGUUGAUCACCACGCCGUCCACCCCGGCGUCGCCGUUCGGCGCGCGGAGCGCCACGUCGUGGCCUCCGCGGCGUGGAACGGCCACGCGCACCGGCCGGGGCACUGCGCCGACGCGUCGCCCACCCACACGUGCACAGCGCCGCCGCCGGGCGCCGACGAGCCGUGCGCGCCGCAGGCGCUGGAGCAGAACCCCUCGACGGCGACGUCGGCGGCGGUCAGCACGACGGCCACGCCGCCCGGCGCGACGCCGAGCCGCGCCGCCAGCCGCUCGACCUGGGCGCGCGACAGGCGCCUCCCGAGGGAGCACCCCUCGUCGUCCACCUGGCUGGCGAGCACCACGCGCGCCACCCCGGCGCCGCCGCCGCGGCCGGCCUUACGGACGUACCUCUCCACGGUGCCCCACCACCGCGCCACCGUCGGCGGCGGCGCCGGCCCCGGCGCGCCGAACGUGUGCGGCUGGUGGUCCCGCCCCCGCGGCGACAGCGACAUGAGGAAGUCGGCGACGACGGCCCUGUGGUGCGGCGGGAACGCGCCCACCGACACCGGCACGGCGCCCUCCAGCACCGCGCCGUCGUGGUACGCCAUCGCCGGCGGCGGCGGCUGGUACAGCGACGCCUCGCACGGCCGCGCCGACCAUCCCAUCACCACCACAACCACCGCCGCCACCGCCGCCGCGAGGAGAUGA